rnacentral:tRNA from 3 species
GGGGGUGUAGCUCCAAUGGUAGAGCAACAGCUUUGCAAGCUGAAGGCUGUCGGUUCGAAUCCGACCAUCUCCAC